rnacentral:rRNA from 1 species
AUUGAACGCUGGCGGCAGGCCUAACACAUGCAAGUCGAGCGAGCGGCGGACGGGUGCGUAAUGCCUAGGAAUCUGCCUGAUGGAGGGGGAUAACUACUGGAAACGGUAGCUAAUACCGCAUACCAUCAGAUGAACCCAUAUGGGAUUAGCUUGUAGGUAAGGUAACGGCUUACCUAGGCGACGAUCCCUAGCUGGUCUGAGAGGAUGAUCAGCCACACUGGGACUGAGACACGGCCCAUAUUCCUACGGGAGGCAGCAGUGGGGCAUAUUACACAAUGGGCGAAAGCCUGAUGCAGCCAUGCCGCGUGUAUGAAGAAGGCCUUCGGGUUGUAAAGUACUUUCAGUCGUGAGGCGUUACCGACAGAAGAAGCACCGGCUAACUCCGUGCCAGCAGCCGCGGUAAUUC